rnacentral:rRNA from 1 species
GACAGAGGGGGCAAGCGUUGCUCGGAAUUACUGGGCGUAAAGGGCGCGUAGGCGGGAUGGCAAGUCGGUCGUGAAAUCCCUCGGCUCAACCGAGGAACGUCGAUCGAUACUGCUGUUCUUGAGGAUUGCAGAGGAGACUGGAAUUCCCGGUGUAGCGGUGAAAUGUGUAGAGAUCGGGAGGAACACCGGUGGCGAAGGCGGGUCUCUGGGCAAUUCCUGACGCUGGGGCGCGAAAGCGUGGGGAGCGAACGGG